rnacentral:lncRNA from 1 species
AUCAAACAGGCCCUUAGUAUUUCUCAAAAUUCUCAAAAACUCAUAAUAUCUCAAAAAGGUUAAAGAUUCUUGAGUGAUAACUCUACUAGAAUAAUGACAGGUAGUUUCCUUAAUUUACUCAAAAGUGACUCUAAGGUCACCAAAAGGACUAUAGUAUUAGAGAUUGCUCACUAUUGUCACCUAAGGACUCUCGAACUCGAAAAAAU